UGUUGAACAAAACGUUAGCAGGGUCCCAUUUUGAUAUAGCCAGGCGGAGUGGGUGAUCCAAAUUCUGAAGCGAAAUACGAUGCCUUAGUGGCACCAGAGACCACAUAUCCAGAGCGCAGGAAGAAGGCCCAAGUUGGGGAGAGAUUUAUCAGCUGUCCAAAUGGUUUGCUGAUUGAAGUUCACAUGGCUAUGCUUGAAUCUCUUGAGGGGAAAAGGAUCAUUCAGCGAUGGUUGAGCAUUUCCUGUUUAUGGGUCUUGUGAAGAAUCCUUACAGGUGUUUGGACAAUGAAACUGACACACAAGCCAAUCGUUUUUGAGGCUUCAUGUCUAUAUAUGGGCAGUGUGUGACUCAGUGGGCUAAGCCUGUGUGCCUGUAAUCAGAAGGUCGCCGGUUCAAACCCAGCCUCAGCACGUAUGCGGGUCCUUGAGCAAGACCCUUAACCCCCAGCUCCCUGGGCGCU